rnacentral:rRNA from 1 species
UAGUCCAUGCUGUAAACGAUGAGUGCUAGAUGUUAGAAGUUUACUUCUAGUAUCGAAGCUAACGCGUUAAGCACUCCGCCUGGGGAGUACGGCCGCAAGGCUAAAACUCAAAUGAAUUGACGGGGACCCGCACAAGCAGUGGAGCAUGUGGUUUAAUUCGACGCUACGCGAAGAACCUUACCAGCUCUUGACAUGCUAGGUUUUGGAUUUAAGAGAUUAAAUCCUUCAGUUCGGCUGGGCUUAGUACAGGUGCUGCAUGGCUGUCGUCAGCUCGUGUCGUGAGAUGUUCGGUUAAGUCCGGCAACGAGCGCAACCCUCAUCUUCAGUUACUAACAGGUUAAGCUGAGGACUCUGGAGAAACUGCCGUUGGAAAAGCGGAGGAAGGCGAGGAUGACGUCAAGUCCUCAUGGCCCUUAUGGGCUGGGGCUACACACGUGCUACAAUGGUAAUUACAAUAGGUCGCGAAAUGGCAACAUUGAGCUAAUCCUCAAAAAUUAUA